UUUACCUGGCGGCAGGCUUAACACAUGCAAGUCGAGCGGUAACAGGAGAAGCUUGCUUCUCGCUGACGAGCGGCGGACGGGUGAGUAAUACUUAGGAAUCUACCUAGUAGUGGGGGAUAGCUCGGGGAAACUCGAAUUAAUACCGCAUACGACCUACGGGAGAAAGGGGGCAACUUGUUGCUCUCGCUAUUAGAUGAGCCUAAGUCGGAUUAGCUAGAUGGUGGGGUAAAGGCCUACCAUGGCGACGAUCUGUAGCUGGUCUGAGAGGAUGAUCAGCCACACCGGGACUGAGACACGGCCCGGACUCCUACGGGAGGCAGCAGUGGGGAAUAUUGGACAAUGGGGGCAACCCUGAUCCAGCCAUGCCGCGUGUGUGAAGAAGGCCUUUUGGUUGUAAAGCACUUUAAGCAGUGAAGAAGACUCCAUGGUUAAUACCCAUGGACGAUGACAUUAGCUGCAGAAUAAGCACCGGCUAACUCUGUGCCAGCAGCCGCGGUAAUACAGAGGGUGCAAGCGUUAAUCGGAAUUACUGGGCGUAAAGCGAGCGUAGGUGGCUUGAUAAGUCAGAUGUGAAAGCCCCGGGCUUAACCUGGGAACGGCAUCUGAUACUGUUAGGCUAGAGUAGGUGAGAGGAAGGUAGAAUUCCAGGUGUAGCGGUGAAAUGCGUAGAGAUCUGGAGGAAUACCGAUGGCGAAGGCAGCCUUCUGGCAUCAUACUGACACUGAGGUUCGAAAGCGUGGGUAGCAAACAGGAUUAGAUACCCUGGUAGUCCACGCCGUAAACGAUGUCUACUAGUCGUUGGGUCCCUUGAGGACUUAGUGACGCAGCUAACGCAAUAAGUAGACCGCC
rnacentral:rRNA from 1 species